AUGGGAGACGAUAAAACGCGCACGUGCAGAAGGACAGAGAGGCAAUGACAUAGGGGCUGUGACCUACCCCGGCGACUACUGACGUCAAGAUGCUGCGUCAGAAGGCGGGGCCUGUGCUUCCGGAGGCGGUUGGCCGCGGGUAGCCGACCGAAGACACGGUUAAGGGGAGACUACUGCAGUUUCCUGAGGCUGCCUCUUGGGGGCGCCUGGGUGGCUCAGUUCCUUAAGUGACUCUCGAUUUCAGCUCAGGUCGUGCGUGAUCUCUUAGUUGAGUGAACUAUUCCAUUAUACAGAUGAAAAAACCAAAGCACAGAGAAAAUCAGUAACAUACAAGACUACAAAGCUACAGUCUCUUACUCUAUUUUUCCUGUCAUUUCCCCUCCACUCCACUCCUGACUUCCUCAGAAUGACAUGAACCAGAAAAGCUGGAGGAUUUCUGAACCAGUGGCCUCCCAACAUUUUCGAUCAUAUGCUCCUCAGUGAGUAUUUCCUUAUAAACUGUAACAUAUAUACGUUUGUAUUAAUAUAUACCUUCUAUAUACAAAAUUAAAGGAUAAAAAUUAAAAAUAAAAGUGAAUGGAUAAGCUAAUAUUUCCUUCUCUACACUUACUCUUGCCCAUUACUCUCUGGAAACAAUUGAGUAGAUUCUAAAUAACAUUUACCCCUCAGAUUUCUAUGCACCAAUGAGUUACAAUUAAUUUGUUGUUUUGAGAUCAAUGGUAAUAAUAAUCAAACUCAAAGAUUGCCUCGGAGAACCAGAUUUUACAUAGUUCUUUUCUCCCUCUUCUCUCACGCUCUGUUUUAGCAUGGAAAUGGCAGGGAGCACAGAGAGGAGGUUAUGGUACAAAGCAUGAGCUAUCUGUUUUCUGAUUUGGGUUGUGUGAUUCCAUUUUUUCUGCGUCCUUAUUCUUAGGCUCUUGACAUCUGAUUUCGUCUUCUGAAAAUAAAUUCUUUACCAUAACACCAAUA